UAAAUAGCUAGGCUGCUUCUUAAGCGGUCGUCAGCUUCUUAGAGGGACUGUUGCGCGAUUAGCCAACGGAAGUUUGAGGCAACAACAGGUCUGUGAUGCCCUUAGAUGUUCUGGGCCGCACGCGCGCUACACUGACAGAGCCAGCGAGUUUUUUUUCCUUGGCCGGAAGGUCUG
rnacentral:rRNA from 1 species